AGGGUAAAGCCUUCUGGAGGGCCGCACCCGUCAGACUUGCGAAUCUGUGGGAUGAACUGUGGGUAGAGGUGAAAUGCCAAUCGAACUUGGAGAUAGCUGGUUCUCCCCGAAAUAGCUUUAGGGCUAGCCUCACGCGAGAGGGUGACGGAGGUAGAGCACUGGCGUGGCUAGGGGGCUUCGGCCUACCAAACCAAAUCAAACUCCGAAUGCCGCCAGGAGAGCCGCGGGAGUCGGACGGCGGGGGAUGAGCUUCGUCGUCGAGAGGGAAACAGCCCAGAUCACCAGCUAAGGUCCCGAAGUACGGGCUAAGUGGUAAAGGAUGUGGGACUACUUGGACAGCCAGGAGGUUGGCUUAGAAGCAGCCACCCUUGAAAGAGUGCGUAAUAGCUCACUGGUCGAGUGGUUCUGCGCUGACAAUCCAACGGGGCUCAAGCCCGUCACCGAGGCUGUGGGAGUAGGCGAUGCCUACUCGGUAGGGGAGCGUUCUGGUCAGCGGCGAAGGGGUAUCGAAAGACGCCCUGGAGCGGCCAGAAGAGAGAAUGUCGGCAUGAGUAGCGUUUAAUGCGUGAGAAUCGCAUUCGCCGAAACCCUCAGGUUUCCGACGCAAGGUUCGUCCGCGUCGGGUUAGUCGGGCCUAAGGCGCAGCCGCAAGGCGAGGCCGAUGGACAACGGGUUAAUAAUCCCGUACCGCACCAGGGGAGCCAACUGGGGACGCAGUGACGUAGGCCAGCCCACGAAUGGUUGAGUGGGUGCGCAAGCGAGCCUUCGGGCGGAAGUGGCUGGGCGUGACUGCCAAGAAAAGCCGUGUUGGCGAUGAAGCUGGUGUGCCCGUACCGCAUACCGACACUGGUAGGGAGGUCGAGUAGACCGAGGCGAACGGGAGAACUCUGGUUAAGGAACUCGGCAACAUGCACGCGUAACUUCGGGAGAAGCGUGACCGUGGCGACACGGUGGCACAGAAGAGGCCCUACCGACUGUUUACCAAAAACACAGGUCUCUGCGAAGGUGAAAACCGACGUAUAGGGGCUGACGCCUGCCCAGUGCCGGAAGGUUAAGGGGAGAGGUGCGAGCUUUGAACCGAAGCCCCGGUGAACGGCGGCCGUAACUAUAACGGUCCUAAGGUAGCGAAAUUCCUUGUCGGGUAAGUUCCGACCCGCACGAAAGGCGUAACGAGUGGGGCGCUGUCUCAACCAG
rnacentral:rRNA from 1 species